rnacentral:rRNA from 1 species
GAGUAACGCGUGGGUAACCUGCCUUAUACAGGGGGAUAACAGUCAGAAAUGGCUGCUAAUACCGCAUAAGCGCACAGAGCUGCAUGGCUCAGUGUGAAAAACUCCGGUGGUACAGGAUGGUCCCGCGUCUGAUUAGCCAGUUGGCAGGGUAACGGCCUACCAAAGCGACGAUCAGUAGCCGGCCUGAGAGGGUGAACGGCCACAUUGGGACUGAGACACGGCCCAAACUCCUACGGGAGGCAGCAUG